GUUAAGGUGGCAGAGCCCGGACAUUGCUAAAGACCUAAGCCCUUUCGACAGAGGUUCAAGUCCUCUCCUUAACUCCCCACC
rnacentral:tRNA from 1 species